AGGGUUGACGGUGAAUGCCUUGGCACAGAGAGGCGAUGAAGGACGUGGCAAGCAGCGAUAUGCUUCGGGGAGCGGCAAGCACGCUUUGAUCCGGAGAUUUCCGAAUGGGGCAACCCCAUCAGGGUCAUGCCUGAUGAUCACCAGCUGAAUACAUAGGCUGGAUGAGGCGAACCGAGGGAAGUGAACCAUCUCAGUACCUCGAGGAAGAGAAAACUAAUCAGUGAUUCCGUCAGUAGCGGCGAGCGAACGCGGAACAGCCCAAACCGGAGUGGCUUCGGCUACACCGGGGUUGUGGGGUCUGGCCACAUGGAGUUACAAAGCAGCAGCCUAGUCGAAGAGUCUGGAACGGCUCACCAAAGAAGGUGACAGUCCUGUAGGCGAAAGGUUAGCUGCCUCCGGCCGGAUACCCGAGUACCACGGGGCACGAGAAACCCUGUGGGAAUCUGGGGGGACCAUCCUCCAAGGCUAAAUACUCGUAAUCGACCGAUAGUGAACUAGUACCGUGAGGGAAAGGUGAAAAGAACCCCUGUUAGGGGAGUGAAAUAGUACCUGAAACCGUCAAUCUACAAGCAGUGGAACCACUAUGCCGGCGCAAGCCGGAACGUGGAACCGCGUGCCUUUUGCAUAAUGAGCCGGCUAGUUACUCUCAGGGGCAAGGUGAAGCAUUUUGCAUAGCCGUAGCGAAAGCGAGUCUGAAUAGGGCGCCAUAGUCGCUGGGAGUACACGCGAAGCGGGAUGAUCUACGCAUGGGCAGGAUGAAACCUGGGUAACACCAGGUGAAGGUCCGAACCAGUGUUGGUUGAAAACAACUUGGAUGACCUGUGUGUAGGGGUGAAAGGCCAAUCAAAUUCCGUUAUAGCUCGUUCUCUCCGAAAUAUCUUUAGGGAUAGCCUCGUAUCGACCAUAGCGGUGGUAGAGCGCUGGAUGGACUAGGGGCCUUACCGGGUUACUGAAUCCAACCAAACUUCGAAUGCCGCUAAUGCAAUGUACGGGAGUCAGACGGCGGGGGAUAAGCUUCGUCGUCGAGAGGGGAACAACCCAGACCGCCAGCUAAGGUCCCCAAAUUCACGCUAAGUGGAAAAGGAUGUGGAGACGCUUAGACAGCCAGGAGGUUGGCUUAGAAGCAGCCAUCCUUUAAAGAAAGCGUAAUAGCUCACUGGUCAAGUGGCUCCGCGCCGACAAUGUAACGGGGCUUAAGCGUGGUACCGAAGCUGCGGAUCUACGGGAUCUUCGGAUUCUGUAGGUGGUAGGAGAGCAUUCUCAACCGGAGUGAAGCCAGAUCGAAAGAACUGGUGGACCGUUGAGAAGAGACUCUGCCGGCACAAGUAGCGAUAAAGUGUGUGAGAAUCACACUCGCCGUAAGUCUAAGGUUUCCUGAGGAAGGUUCGUCCUCUCAGGGUUAGUCGGUCCCUAAGGCGAGGCCGAAAGGCGUAGUCGAUGGGAAACAGGUCAACAUUCCUGUACCGGACCGUGUUGCGAUGGGGUGACGCAGGAGGAUAGCUGGGCCCACGAUCGGAAGUGUGGGUUCAAGCGUGUAGCGUGCCUGGAUAGGUAAAUCCGUUCGGGUAUACGUGAGACGUGACGUCGAGAGCUCCUAGCUCGCAAAGUCAGUGAGUCCAAGCUGCCAAGAAAAACCUCUAAGCUUCAGACACGGGACGACCGUACCGCAAACCGACACAGGUAGACGGGAAGAGCAUUCCAAGGCGCGUGAGUGAUCCCUCGUGAAGGAACUCGGCAAAUUAGCACCGUAACUUCGGAAGAAGGUGUGCUUGCUGUCGUUAGUUUCCUCGCGAAACAAAGCGACGGUGAGUCGCAGUGAAAUGCCCCAAGCGACUGUUUACUAAAAACACAGGGCUCUGCAAAGUCGAAAACGACGUAUAGGGUCUGACGCCUGCCCGGUGCCGGAAGAUUAAAUGAUGGGGUGCAAGCUCUUGAUUGAAGUCCCGGUAAACGGCGGCCGUAACUAUAACGGUCCUAAGGUAGCGAAAUUCCUUGUCGGGUAAGUUCCGACCUGCACGAAUGGCGUAACGAUUUGGGGACUGUCUCCACGAGGGGCUCAGCGAAUCUGUAGCGCUGGUGAAGAUGCCAGCUACCCGCAACUAGACGGAAAGACCCUGUGCACCUUUACUGCACCCUGGCAGUGAACUCUGGUGUUGUAUGUGUAGGAUAGGUGGGAGCCUUUGAAGCCGGGCCGCUAGGUUCGGUGGAGGCAACGGUGAAAUACCACCCUUACAACACCGGUGUUCUAACCGAGAUCCGUCAUCCGGAUCCGGGACAUUGCCAGGCGGGCAGUUUGACUGGGGCGGUCGCCUCCCAAAGUGUAACGGAGGCUCGCGAAGGUUCUCUUAGGCUGUUUGGAAAUCAGCCGGCAAGUGUAAAGGCAGAAGAGAGCUUGACUGUAAGACUUACAAGUCGAACAGAUGGGAAACCAGGCCUUAGUGAUCCGGUGGUUCUGUAUGGAAGGGCCAUCGCUCAACGGAUAAAAGGUACUCUGGGGAUAACAGGCUGAUACCGCCCAAGAGUUCAUAUCGACGGCGGUGUUUGGCACCUCGAUGUCGGCUCAUCGCAUCCUGGGGCUGGAGCAGGUCCCAAGGGUUCGGCUGUUCGCCGAUUAAAGCGGUACGUGAGCUGGGUUUAGAACGUCGCGAGACAGUUCGGUCCCUAUCUGUUGUGGGCGGAGGAGAAUUGAGUGGAGGUUUCCUUAGUACGAGAGGACCGGGAAGCACUGACCUCUAGUGUACGAGUUGUCCUGCCAAGGGCACCGCUCGGUAGCUAUGUCGGGAAGGGAUAAUCGCUGAAAGCAUAUAAGCGAGAAGCCAACCACAAGAUGAGUUCU
rnacentral:rRNA from 1 species